rnacentral:rRNA from 1 species
AGUGAACGCUGGCGGCGUGCUUAACACACGAAAGUCGCACGAGAACGGGAUAUAGCUUGCUAGAUUUGUCAGCUAAGUGGCGCAAGGGUGAGAAAUGUACAGCUAACCUGCCCUCUAGCAUGGAAUAACAGUUUGAAACGCCUGCUAAUGCCCGACAUGUCGUUAAGACACUCACAUGCCAGAGAAACCUCUUAGUGUAAGAGGAUGGGUCUGGAUGGUAUCGGCUUUGUCGUGAGGUAAUGGCUCACCAGGGCUAUGACGCCUAACUCGUGUGAGAGGAUGAUCAGUCACACUGGAACUGAGACACGGUCCAGACUCCUACGGGAGGCAGCAGUGGGGAAUAUUGCACAAUUGACGAAAGUCUGAUGCAGCCACGCCGCGUGGAGGAUGACACAUUUCGGUGCGUAAACUCCUUUUAUAUAGGAAGAUAAUGACGGUACUAUAUGAAUAAGCACCGGCUAACUCCGUGCCAGCAGCCGCCGCAG